CCGAAGCCGAAGCCGAAGCCUCGCCGCCGAGCUGGGAGCUAGCUGCGCAGGCCCUGGCCAAUCGCACACACCCAACAAGCCUAGCGAGAGCCGCGGGCCCCGUACGUGGCAGAACUGAUUAUUUGGUCACAAAACAUAUUUUUUAAUACAACAACAAGAACAACAAAAAUCUUUUCCUAGAGGUGAAACUGGUUGACAAAUUCUUCAUCGGCAAAAGCAUAAUGUGUGCAAGCCACUCCCUGUACUUAUCAGGAGUCAUUUUGUUCUAGAAGAAAGUCAAGGUUGUGAAAUCCAGCCAGGCGGUCAGCCCUCCAGUCAGUCCUACAGCUGGAAAUAUCAGCAAGAGCAGCAACUUGGACAGAAGCAAAGGAAAAUGUUUCCAGACGUCAAAGUGACCUACAUAUGGCCAGUGCAGGGGACAAACAGCUUACCUCUCUGUACAGAGAAGAGAACACUUGACCCCGUACCAUCGCCUCGAGUAACUGACUGGACUGCUACGUUCGGCUCCACCACUGAUUCGUCACCCAGAGAAAAGGAGUAAGACUCCAUUUGCUCAAUAAGCCUGCAGCCAAUGAGACAUCACAAUGCAGCAUUUUGUCAUAAACUCAGAGCUUGUAGUUGGUGGGAUCAUAGAUAUCGAAGUCAUGAACACAGAGGGCUUGAGUCUCCUGAGAACUGUGAGGUUAAUGGAAGAAGUAAAAGAAUUGGACCAUCUAAGAUUCGAACAACAUCUCCAUGAAUCCUUCAGGCCUUCAGCAGGACUACUGAGGCAUCCAGCUAUGGACUUCUCAGCCUCUGUAGUGUAUACACAGCCAUUGUUGUCCCCCUAACCCAUAUUGUGUAAGUCAAUCCAGUAAAUACACAUUUGUAAUACAUAUUCUGUCUGCCAAUUCUGCUCCUCUAGUGAACCCUAAUAUACCCGUAUGAUGCAAUAAUCUAGAAUUAUGGUGUACAUGUAUAGAUAUUCAUAUUUUUAAAAAUAUCUUAAACUAUUAAAUGAUAAUAGAUUAAUAUAUUAUGUAAUUACUUGUAUGUAUGAAUGCAUGAAUAUAUAUACAUAGAGAAAACAUUUGGAGUAUAUGCUAACCAAUUAAUAAAGGUAAAUAAU